rnacentral:rRNA from 1 species
CCCUUAGAUGUCCUGGACUGCACGCGCGCUACACUGAUGUGUCCAGUAAGCACCUAACCUCUUCCGAAAGGAACGGGUAACCUUUGCAAAGCACAUCGUGAUGGGGAUAGAUUAUUGCAAUUAUUAGUCUUGAACGAGGAAUUCCUAGUAAGCACAAGUCAUCAGCUUGUGUUGAUUACGUCCCUGCCCUUUGUACACACCGCCCGUCGCUCCUACCGAUUGAAUGUUCCGGUGAGCUCUUCGGACUGCGCGGUCUGCAGUUUCUGCGUUCCUUGCGGAAAGUUGCGCAAACCUUAACAUUUAGAGGAAGGAGAAGUCGUAACA